UCUGAUACAUACAAUAUUGAUGGUGGGUCAUUAUUCCUUAAAGGAAAAGAUAUUUUUUUCCCUCGCAAGGGGUCCCCAUGUCUAACAAUUGAAGGCAUUCGAGACACCAAACAACAUCAAAUACAAAGAAGCAUCAUUGAAGUCCACUAGGCUUGAACAAUCUCCCCUCACCCGAAUGCAAUUAUAAUCAGAAAUCACAGCUAAAGAACCUUGGAUGGGUGUUGCUGUCAAACAGUGUUUUGGCAAUGCAAUUCUGCCAAAAACAUGAGUGCUCAAAUCGAAUGUCAAUACAUAACAUCUCCCUCUGACAUUAGAUACCACCUAGCAAUGUAACGCUCCAUUGACCAAACAUGAUUUUGAUAUCAAUUGUAAAGAUUUCACAAAUCAACUCGUCACAUAGAUGAGCUGACAUCAUGUGGUUGUGCUUUUUUCUAAGGCCAGGCAUAACUGCAAUACAAGUAAAAUAGAUUUAAAAAUAAACCACAUAAAGUUCUAAUGAAUACAAGAAGUAAAUCAAAUGGGUUGGUUCCAUCUUUUCAGGCAUUGUAUCAAACGCUUGAUGUGCAAAUAAAUAUUAAAACCAGGAAGAUGUUGAAAAGAUAAAUCAUAUAUGCUCAUAAACUAAUAUGGAGUUAUUCUGCUCAAUCCCAUAACCUGUGAAAAAGAAAUCCUAAUGGUUAUUGAUUUAAGAAACCAUCUUGUAACAUGGGUCAUUAAACUCAUAGACGCCUUCCCAUGUUUGUUUGCAAUGUUAUCUCACCAAACAGCUGUGUAUAUCAGUCACAGUAAACUGGGUUAAAAUACAUCAACGACUUCUAAUCUCGUUCUUUCUAAACAAGCUAAUCUGGCUCAAAAAAAUUGAUGGUUUCGACUUUAAAUGACAACAAAAACAUUCAUACCUUCAUCACAUGUCUAUUAAGAUGGUUAUUCGAAUGAUGUGCUAAAGAACCUAGAUAAAUAUUGUCCAAAUAUGAUCCCCUUUUCACCUAAUCUCCUUACAAUUUCCUCACUGCUAACUUUCGUUCGGAUUCU
rnacentral:lncRNA from 1 species